UACAGAGGUCCCAAGCGUUGUUCGGAUUCACUGGGCGUAAAGGGUGCGUAGGCGGUCGGGUAAGUCUGAUGUGAAAUCUCCAAGCUCAACUUGGAAAUGGCAUCGGAUACUAUUCGGCUCGAGGAAUGGAGGGGAGACUGGAAUACUUGGUGUAGCAGUGAAAUGCGUAGAUAUCAAGUGGAACACCAGUGGCGAAGGCGGCCGGCUGGGGGUGCCCUGACGCUGAGGCGCGAAAGCGUGGGGAGCGAACCGG
rnacentral:rRNA from 1 species